rnacentral:rRNA from 1 species
GAUGAACGCUAGCGGCGUGCCUAAUACAUGCAAGUAGAACGCUGAAGGAGGAGCUUGCUCUUCUGGAUGAGUUGCGAACGGGUGAGUAACGCGUAGGUAACCUGCCUGGUAGCGGGGGAUAACUAUUGGAAACGAUAGCUAAUACCGCAUGACAACAGUUAUUGCAUGAUAACUGUUUAAAAGGGGCAACUGCUCCACUACCAGAUGGACCUGCGUUGUAUUAGCUAGUUGGUGAGGUAACGGCUCACCAAGGCGACGAUACAUAGCCGACCUGAGAGGGGGAUCGGCCACACUGGGACUGAGACACGGCCCAGACUCCUACGGGAGGCAGCAGUAGGGAAUCUUCGGCAAUGGACGGAAGUCUGACCGAGCAACGCCGCGUGAGUGAAGAAGGUUUUCGGAUCGUAAAGCUCUGUUGUAAGAGAAGAACGAGUGUGAGAGUGGAAAGUUCACACUGUGACGGUAUCUUACCAGAAAGGGACGGCUAACUACGU